GCCGGGUGGAUCCCAGUUCAACUCGAUUUGAAGCGGUUCAUUGUCGAAACUCAUAUAGGGCGAUUUCUGGGAACAACCCCCAUGUGCUUCACAAUCCAUUUAUUAUGUAGAUAUGAAAGGGGUCCCGCUUGCCAAGGUUAUGAUGCAAAAGGAAUAGCAUUCAGUUCCUUCCCUUAUGGUCCCAAAUAGAAAUUUUGCCAAACUGCUCCUUGUAGUACUAUGCAAUGUCUCAUCACAAGCACAUUCUAACUUUUGACGGGAACUUAUUUACUCGAAUUGCGUCAACCGAUUG
rnacentral:lncRNA from 1 species